rnacentral:rRNA from 1 species
GUCGAGCGAACGGAUGAGAAGCUUGCUUCUCUGAUGUUAGCGGCGGACGGGUGAGUAACACGUGGAUAACCUACCUAUAAGACUGGGAUAACUUCGGGAAACCGGAGCUAAUACCGGAUAAUAUUUUGAACCGCAUGGUUCAAAAGUGAAAGACGGUCUUGCUGUCACUUAUAGAUGGAUCCGCGCUGCAUUAGCUAGUUGGUAAGGUAACGGCUUACCAAGGCAACGAUGCAUAGCCGACCUGAGAGGGUGAUCGGCCACACUGGAACUGAGACACGGUCCAGACUCCUACGGGAGGCAGCAGUAGGGAAUCUUCCGCAAUGGGCGAAAGCCUGACGGAGCAACGCCGCGUGAGUGAUGAAGGUCUUCGGAUCGUAAAACUCUGUUAUUAGGGAAGAACAUAUGUGUAAGUAACUGUGCACAUCUUGACGGUACCUAAUCAGAAAGCCACGGCUAACUACGUGCCAGCAGCCGCGGUAAUACGUAGGUGGCAAGCGUUAUCCGGAAUUAUUGGGCGUAAAGCGCGCGUAGGCGGUUUUUUAAGUCUGAUGUGAAAGCCCACGGCUCAACCGUGGAGGGUCAUUGGAAACUGGAAAACUUGAGUGCAGAAGAGGAAAGUGGAAUUCCAUGUGUAGCGGUGAAAUGCGCAGAGAUAUGGAGGAACACCAGUGGCGAAGGCGACUUUCUGGUCUGUAACUGACGCUGAUGUGCGAAAGCGUGGGGAUCAAACAGGAUUA